rnacentral:rRNA from 1 species
UACGUAGGGGGCGAGCGUUGUCCGGAGUUACUGGGCGUAAAGGGCACGCAGGCGGUGCGGCGCGUUUCGCGUGACAGCGGAGGGCUUAACUCUCCGAGGAUGCGAAAGACGGCGGCACUUGAGGGCCAGAGAGGGACACGGAAUUCCGGGUGGAGUGGUGAAAUGCGUAGAGAUCCGGAGGAACACCAGUGGCGAAGGCGACACGCUGGGCCAUACCUGACGCUAAAGCGCGACAGCAUGGGGAGCAAACGGG